UACAGAGGUCUCAAGCGUUGUUCGGAUUCAUUGGGCGUAAAGGGUGCGUAGGCGGCGCGGUAAGUCGGGUGUGAAAGCCCGGGGCUUAACCCCGGGUCUGCAUUCGAUACGGGCUAGCUAGAGUCCGGAAGAGGAGAGUGGAAUUCCUGGUGUAGCGGUGAAAUGCGCAGAUAUCAGGAAGAACACCCGUGGCGAAGGCGGCUCUCUGGGACGGUACUGACGCUGAGACGCGAAAGCGUGGGGAGCGAACAGG
rnacentral:rRNA from 1 species